GCCGCCGCGGAGCGCGGGCGCCCUCGUGAGGCUGGGCUGCGUCGCCAGCGGCAGCGUGAAGCGGGCAGCCCGGUCUGCGCCGGGGCCUGGGCCUGGAGUCCGGUGUGGUCGGGCGUUCGACUCGCGCGACUCCCCGCCCGAGGGCCCACCGGGCUCCGGCUGGAAGCCGCCCAGGGUGCGGCAGCGAAACUUCGGCCCGGUUGCAACCACAGUGGCGUUUAGGCCGGACGCUCUUGCUCCCGUUUCACGGAGCGGUCGAAAUCCGUAGACGUUUCUAAUGCGUUCUACCGGUAGCCCAGCCCUCUUCGUCCUCAGCCUCUAUUCGUGCUCACUUUUCUCCCAGGCAGGUAGCUCCAGGGGCCUCCUGUCUCUCUCCUCCCCACCCUAUCCCGUUUUCCCUUGAGCAUCCCCUGCUGCUUGCCAGGUGUGCCUUUAGUGAGAACCCGAUCUUUCCAGCACUUUUUUUCCUGCUGGUGAAGACAAACCCACAUGCUUUUAGUUUUCAGGGUUUUGUUAUCGAUCAGUUUCAUCCAUAGGUAGUGCUUACAUAGCACGUGCUACGUGCCAGCCAUGAUGUUUAGUGGGUUUAUGUGCAUUAAUUCACCCAGUCUUUGGAACAGCUCUAAACUUAAUCUUAUUAUACUAUCACUAAUUUGCAAAUCAGAAAACUGAGAUCUGAGGCAAAUUAAGUAAAUUGACUAAAGUUAUACAGACAACACACUGCCUGAUCAUGAACUGAAUUAUCUUUAAAAUUAUUAUUGGUACAUAAUCAAAGCAAAGUAUCACAAAGUUUCAGAAUUAUUCAAUAGAACGUAACACUUCUGGGGAAAUGCAUCUCGCUGAAAUGGAUAUUGUUGCUUUUUAAAAUUCAUAAAUCUGUGAAUGAUUAUAUCUUAUUGCUGGGACGGGAAGGAUUGAGCAUCAAUACCACUCUUAAGUUUUAGUUUUUAUAACUGUAUGGCCUUAGAAACGGUGUAUAAACAAGUACUAUACCUGGUAAUCCUAAUCCUACUGUAGCAACGUUGUAACUGAGCAGGGUCCUGUGAGGCUCCUGGGCACACAAGCCUUUCUGUGUCCUUCAUUUCCCGUUUUUAAGGAAUAAGCUUCAGGCUCCAUGACCUUCCCUGAGCUCCAAAGGGCAGUUGAUAAUCAGGGCAGGAAAGGGAUGCAGAGAUCAGGGAGCAGCAGUCGAGAGACAAUAAUGCAGCCUUGGGGCAGGGCCCUGGUUCCUCCUCAAGGAAUAUACAUAACAAUGUCUUGGAGCCUUUUUGCAGAACUAAAAUCCCCAACCAAGGGAAGAACUGCUUGAUGAAGGAGGACCUCCAGAACCAGUCCUGGGCUGCUAAUUAUUUCUCAGCUUUGAUCCUUAUCUGCAGCCUUAUUUUCCACUCCCCAAAGUAUAAAACCACCCCCUAAUCUCUCCCAAGGAGGGCACAGUCUUUAAGGCAUUGGUCUGCUGUGCCCUCCUUUACCUGGCAAAGCAAUAAAGCUCUCUUUUUCUCCUUCACCUAAAACUCUGUCUCCAAAUUUCCAUUCAGCAAUGGCAGACAGAAGCUGAGUUUCGGCAGCAAAAUUUGAGGGCUCAUCCAGGAUCUGCCUGUGGGCAGGCGGCCCCACAGUGCUCUUGGCUGGAUCAGACACUUUGAGGUUUCUCUCCACACCAGUCCCCCUAUAGGUUAGCAGAGGAUUGGAGGAAUCUUUUAGAGGCCAGACUGCUGAGAGUUUCCUGCCAUGGGGCCGGCCCUGAGCAGAGCUGACUGGCCAUCUUGGAAGUUGGAACUCCAGGGUGGAAGAGUGGUUGGUAGGCAGCUCUCACUGGCCUUGGGGGGACUCCUUCCUUUCCCUCUGCUCCUGCCGACCAGAACUUCCCACUUCAAGAAGACUUUUUGGGAAGAGGAAAAGUAGCAUCUGUGAUUUCGAGACACCUCUGCCAGCAUCUGGAUGGGAUUCAGAAUUGGGAAGGCAAAGUAAUCAUACCGAUAAAAAGAGGGAGGAUUUUGGACCUCCAUGAAGAUACUGAAGUGGGGGGGGGGCAGGGAGAGAGGGUGUUUAUCUGCUUGCCUGGCUGGCACCGUUGCUGUCAUCGUUUCCUUACAUCUUCACCACGACAAGACUGUGUCGUUCGAGCCAUCUUGAGAAGGAGAAGAUGAAAGCUGGGAGGCCGUGAACAUCUCGCCCAGAUUUAUGUUGCUGCAAAAAGAAUUGAAAUUGGGAGGCAGAUUGCAUCCAAAGCUGGAAUAUUUCCAUGUGCUCUUCCCUACACCAUCCUAAAGACGUGGAAGGCAGGGCCUCCCCUCCCUUCCGUGCACCUUCUUGCCCCCGCCCCUGUGGUCUCUGUAUCUGCACUAAGAUGAAUGUGCUCUGGCCUCUCCCACCUCACACAGAGCAAGGAGAAAAGGCAACAGCCUCAAAUCUGCCCAAUAUUCCACGGAAGCUGGUCUUUCUUCUACAUGGACAGUGAUUCCCUUUGAAAAGGCAGCAACAUUGAACUGCCCCAGCUUCCUGGCUAUGCCCACCGAUGAAGGUGACAAUCACGAUGCAGAAAUGGACAGUGGGGAGCGUUGGAUGGAAUAAUUACAAUAGUGAACAAAGAACAGCGGUGAAGACAUUUUACCCAAACAUCUUACUUGCUGUUGGAAGUCUGGCUUGACCCAAUGUGAGGCCCUCUUCUCCAUUCCAGAUCCAGGACACCAUUCCCUGAAGGAGCCAUCAGGGGCCUGUGGGAUAGAGGCCAUUGCCGGGGAUGCCCUGAUAGAGGUCCUUCAACAAAUAACAAGUAAGAGGCUGCAGUUUCUGCAACGAGAGAUGAUGGGGCUGAAAUGUCAGCAGGACAGACCAGGAUGGAAGAUCAAUCACGGAGCGGUUCCCCAUGCUGUGAGCUCCCCCAGGCAAAGGCUGUACCUUUUGUUUUCCUCAGCACCUCUCUUAGAACCCAGAACAAUGUCCAGAGGAGAACAGGCAUUCAGACCCUAUUUCCAUCUCUAUUCUGGGACCAUGUGGAAUCAGAGAUAAAUUAGACCACAUCUUUGUCCUAGGAGUUCACAGUCAAGCUGAGGCGGACAGACUGACAAAUUGAUAAAUGCUUCAACAUUGUCUUCUCUUAUUCAGGCCAAACGUCAUUAGCUGAUCCUCAGAUUCCCUCCCUGAACAGGAAAGCACAGAUCGGAUAGCACGGUGCCAGGCGGGGACCGACCCAUGCUGAACAAGCUCGAAGGUCAUUUCUCUCAUGUAUGUUUAUAAGGAAAACACUGAUCCUCUGAGUAUGUUUCCCUUGUUCACACAGAGGCUCCAAGAAGGUCAAAUAAGUCUCAGAUGAUGCUUAACGAGUACAAAGCCCGAACGAAGUGGCUGGAUGUCCAUUAGGAACAGCACUGUUUCCCUUUUCUGCUCUGGGAAGGAAUCCAACAGGUACUUCCCCUGGGUCAAGCCCUAAUGGCAAAUUUUUCAGCAAAAGAGGAGGUUUUUUUCAAAUUUCUUGUCCAGAUUGCUGAGCUCUUAUCAUAUCGACAGGUUCCCAAAUGGACAGAAAGACUUAGAAAUUCCAGAGUAAUUAUCUUGCUUGAGUGUAGCUAAUAUUGAAAAUGGAAACUUUUCUCAUGGAUUUUUAAAAAUAAUAUCUUAUCAUUCACCCUUCAUUAGGUGUGAAUAACUACUGGCAGGAUGUAUUUUAGCAGAAUGAAUGUUAUCUAGUAAGGUAUCCAGAAAAAGCUGAUGUCACAUGCACACUUGCCUUAACCUCCCACUCUUUCCCCCAGUAUCACCUAUCACAGGCAUUGAGGCUCCAACCAAACUGCUGAUGCUCUUCCCUUAGCUUAGAGUACUUUUCCCAGUGCUGCUUGUUCAAAUCUACUUUUCCAUCAAGAGUAACCUCAAAUUCCACUAUUUCUAAGGAGACUUCUCUCUUUCUCCAGUGAAGAAGGGAUAAUUUCUUCUUUCUUCACAGGUCCUUAAUUAUUCUUCCUAAGCCUCUCUUAAAACACUUAGAUGUCUCAGCUGUCCUAAAAAUCUGAGUUUCUUGAGGCCAGGACUUGCAUCUUAACGUCUUGGUAUCUUUCAUCCUUGGAAGGCAAUAUAGCAUACGGUCACGGGAUCAGGAUCCUGGGUACAAACUGGGUGCUACUACUAACCAGCUGUGUGAUUGUAGGCAAUUCCUGGCAUAUUGUAAUCACUCAACAAAUGUCCCCAUUUACUAUUUAUAUUCUUCAUAACACACAGGACAAUACAUAGUAUCCAUUCUCAGCUCAGUCAAUGUUUACUGAAUGAAUAAAUGAGAAAGCAAAUGAAAAGUAGUUUGUUGUUGAGUGUUUGUUAAGGGAAUGAAUAAUUUAAUAGAUUUGGAAGAAAAUUUGUCAAACAUACUGCUUUUCACUGAACCAAAACAUAUUUCUACAAAUGUUAUGCUUAACCUUCUCCUGGGUCUCUCCUCAAUUCAUUAUUCCUUGAAGCACCCUUCCCUUAGAACCAUCUACCCAUAAACUUAUAUAAUAUUUUAUUUUUGUUUCUUUUAAGAGUGACUACUUUAUGCUAAAGAGCUGCAUUAAGCUUUUGCAGAUUGAAAGAAGAGGAUUUCUUUACUUGUCUGUAGAUCAGGCUGGUUUUCUAUGAGCAGGCAGAGGGAUCUUUGCUACAUUUAUAAUCAUAUAUUUUCUGAGUAGACAAGAUCCAGACGAAAUUCAGGAAGGUUCCUAGGUAUCAUGGCUCUUUUAACUAUAUGAGUCAGCAAUCCCACUCCUGCACAUCUAUUUGAAGAAAACCAUAAUUUGAAAAGAUACAUACACCCUAAUGUUCAUUGCAGCACUAUUUACAAUAGCCAAGAUGUGGGAGCAACCUAAAUGUCCAUUGACAGAGGAAUGGAUAAAGAAGGUGUGGUACACAUAUACAAUGGAAUAUCAGCCAUGAAAAAGAAUGAAACAAUGUCAUUUGCAGCAACAUGGAAGGGCAUAGAGAUUUUCAUACUAAAUGAAGUCAGUCAGACCGUGAAAGACAAACAUCAUAUGAUAUCACUUAUAUGUAGAAUCUAAGAGAAAUAUACAAAUGAACUUAUUUGCAGAACAGAAACAGGUCACAGACUUUGAAAACAAACUUAUGGUUACCAAAGGAGAUGGGUAGGGGGGAGGGAUGGACUGGGGUUUGGGACUGGUGUAUGCCCACUGUUGUAUGUGGAAUGACUGGCCAAUGGGGACCUGCUGAAUAGCACAGAGAACUCUACCCAAUAUUCUGUGAUAAUCUAUAUGAGAAAAGAAUCUGAAAGAGAAUGGAUGUGUGUAUAUUUAUAACUCAAUCACUUUGUUGUACAGCAGAGAUUAUCACAACAUUGUAAAUCAAAUAUACUUCAAUGAAACCUAAAAAAAAA
rnacentral:lncRNA from 1 species